rnacentral:rRNA from 1 species
AUUGAACGCUGGCGGCAGGCCUAACACAUGCAAGUCGAGCGGAUGAAGGGAGCUUGCUCCUGGAUUCAGCGGCGGACGGGUGAGUAAUGCCUAGGAAUCUGCCUGGUAGUGGGGGAUAACGUCCGGAAACGGGCGCUAAUACCGCAUACGUCCUGAGGGAGAAAGUGGGGGAUCUUCGGACCUCACGCUAUCAGAUGAGCCUAGGUCGGAUUAGCUAGUUGGUGGGGUAAAGGCCUACCAAGGCGACGAUCCGUAACUGGUCUGAGAGGAUGAUCAGUCACACUGGAACUGAGACACGGUCCAGACUCCUACGGGAGGCAGCAGUGGGGAAUAUUGGAAUGGGCGAAAGCCUGAUCCAGCCAUGCCGCGUGUGUGAAGAAGGUCUUCGGAUUGUAAAGCACUUUAAGUUGGGAGGAAGGGCAGUAAGUUAAUACCUUGCUGUUUUGACGUUACCAACAGAAUAAGCACCGGCUAACUUCGUG